ACUUCGUUCGACAAUAUACGAAGGUGCUGCAGUGGUUGUCGUCAGCUCGUGCCGUGAGGUGUCGGGUUAACGUCCCAUAACGAGCGCAACCCCUUACCUUUAGUUGCCAUCAGGUAAUGCUGGGGACUCUAAAGGAACUGCCUACGCAAGUAGUGAGGAAGGCGGGGAUGACGUCAAAUCAGCACGGCCCUUACGUCCAGGGCUACACACGUGCUACAAUGGCCGAUACAGAGGGCAGCUACCUGGUGACAGGAUGCAAAUCUCCAAAGUCGGUCUCAGUUCGGAUCGGAGUCUGCAACCCGACUCCGUGAAGUUGGAUUCGCUAGUAAUCGCGCAUCAGCCAUGGCGCGGUGAAUACGUUCCCGGGCCUU
rnacentral:rRNA from 1 species